rnacentral:rRNA from 1 species
GACUCAACGCGGGAAUCUUACCGGGUCCGGACACACUGAGGAUUGACAGACAAACACAUUUAUGUGUUAUAAAGAUGCUAGUUCUUUCAUGAUUAUGUGAUAGGUGGUGCAUGGCCGUUCUUAGUUCGUGGAGUGAUCUGUCUGCUUAAUUGCGUUUCAAUAUUUUAUUACGUAUACGUAUGACCAACUACCUUUACCGGUAUGUUUGUGUCUAGUAUGCUAUCAUUUGAAAGCAACGAACGUGACCGUAUCCUUUUAUUAUGUACGCACGCGUAUAUUUAUUUCAUUAAAGGGACCGCUGUUUCUUUCUUUAAACCAGAGGAAGGUUACGGCAAUAACAGGUCUGUGAUGCCCUUCGAUGUUCCGGGCUGCACACGUGCUACAAUGAUUAUUUCAUUAAGUAUCUAAUCUUUAUGUAUCGUACCUCUGUGUAUGUUCAAAAUACCUACCCUGAGAAUGGGCGGGUAAUCAAUUAGAAGUAAUGAUUUCCUUUUUUUAAUACGCAACUAUGUACCGUAUAUUACAUCCCACAUAUUUUUAUAUAUGUGCGUGUGUGUUUUAUUACCGUGUACGCGUAACUGUUAAUUCAUGGUGGGGAUAGACCAUUGUUAAUUGUUGGUCUCGGUCUUAACUAGGAAUGCCUUGUACGGGUCAUUGGUUCAACAAACCACCCGGAAUACGUCCCUGCCCUUUGUACACACCGCCCGUCGCUCUUACCGAUGAACUUCGCUAUGAAUCUAUUGGACUGUGCUCUCUUAUGAGUGCGGAAAGAUAUAUGAAUAGUGUGGUUUAAAGGAAAGAGAAGUCGUAACAAGGCAUCCGUAGGUGAACCU